ACGGGAGGCAGCAGUGGGGGAUAUUGCGCAAUGGGGGCAACCCUGACGCAGCAACGCCGCGUGAAGGAAGACGGUUUUCGGAUUGUAAACUUCUUUAAGUGUGGAAGAAAUUGACGGUACACACAGAAUAAGCCACGGCUAACUACGUGCCAGCAGCCGCGGUAAUACGUAGGUGGCGAGCGUUGUCCGGAUUUACUGGGUGUAAAGGGCGUGUAGGCGGGAUUACAAGUCAGAUGUGAAAUACCGAGGCUUAACUUCGGGGCUGCAUUUGAAACUGUAGUUCUUGAGUGUCGGAGAGGAAAGCGGAAUUCCUAGUGUAGCGGUGAAAUGCGUAGAUAUUAGGAGGAGCAUCGGUGGCGAAGGCGGCUUACUGGGCCUUUACUGACGCUGAGGCACGAAAGCGUGGGGAGCAAACAGGAUUAGAUACCCUGGUA
rnacentral:rRNA from 1 species